UACGGAGGAUCCGAGCGUUAUCCGGAUUUAUUGGGUUUAAAGGGUGCGUAGGCGGCCUUUUAAGUCAGCGGUGAAAGUCUGUGGCUCAACCCUAGAGUUGCCGUUGAAACUGGGGGGCUUGAGUGUGUUUGAGGCAGGCGGAAUGCGUGGUGUAGCGGUGAAAGGCAUAGAUAUCAGGCGGAACCCCGAUUGCGAAGGCAGCCUGCAAAGCCAUUACUGACGCUGAUGCACGAAAGCGUGGGGAUCAAACAGG
rnacentral:rRNA from 1 species